GACGAACGCUGGCGGCGUGCUUAACACAUGCAAGUCGAACGGAAAGGCCUCUUUCGGGGGGUACUCGAGUGGCGAACGGGUGAGUAACACGUGAGUAACCUGCCCUUGACUUUGGGAUAACUUCAGGAAACUGGGGCUAAUACCGGAUAGGAGCUCCUGCUGCAUGGUGGGGGUUGGAAAGUUUCGGCGGUUGGGGAUGGACUCGCGGCUUAUCAGCUUGUUGGUGGGGUAGUGGCUUACCAAGGCUUUGACGGGUAGCCGGCCUGAGAGGGUGACCGGCCACGUUGGGACUGAGAUACGGCCCAGACUCCUACGGGAGGCAGCAGUGGGGAAGAUUGCACAAUGGGUGGAAGCCUGAUGCAGCAACGCCGUGUGCGGGAUGACGGCCUUCGGGUUGUAAACCGCUUUCGCUCAUGACGAAGCUUUGUGUGACGGUAGUGGGUAAAGAAGCACCGGCUAACUACGUG
rnacentral:rRNA from 1 species